GACGAACGCUGGCGGCGUGCCUAAUACAUGCAAGUCGAGCGAGCGGAACUAACAGAUUUACUUCGGUAAUGACGUUAGGAAAGCGAGCGGCGGAUGGGUGAGUAACACGUGGGGAACCUGCCCCAUAGUCUGGGAUACCACUUGGAAACAGGUGCUAAUACCGGAUAAGAAAGCAGAUCGCAUGAUCAGCUUUUAAAAGGCGGCGUAAGCUGUCGCUAUGGGAUGGCCCCGCGGUGCAUUAGCUAGUUGGUAAGGUAAAGGCUUACCAAGGCGAUGAUGCAUAGCCGAGUUGAGAGACUGAUCGGCCACAUUGGGACUGAGACACGGCCCAAACUCCUACGGGAGGCAGCAGUAGGGAAUCUUCCACAAUGGACGCAAGUCUGAUGGAGCAACGCCGCGUGAGUGAAGAAGGUUUUCGGAUCGUAAAGCUCUGUUGUUGGUGAAGAAGGAUAGAGGUAGUAACUGGCCUUUAUUUGACGGUAAUCAACCAGAAAGUCACGGCUAACUACGUGCCAGCAGCCGCGGUAAUGCGUAGGUGGCAAGCGUUGUCCGGAUUUAUUGGGCGUAAAGCGAGCGCAGGCGGAAGAAUAAGUCUGAUGUGAAAGCCCUCGGCUUAACCGAGGAACUGCAUCGGAAACUGUUUUUCUUGAGUGCAGAAGAGGAGAGUGGAACUCCAUGUGUAGCGGUGGAAUGCGUAGAUAUAUGGAAGAACACCAGUGGCGAAGGCGGCUCUCUGGUCUGCAACUGACGCUGAGGCUCGAAAGCAUGGGUAGCGAACAGGAUUAGAUACCCUGGUAGUCCAAGGGCGAAUUCCACAGUGGAUAUCAAGCUUAUCGAUACCGUCGACCUCGAGGGGGGGCCCGGNNCCNNNUUUUGUCCNUNNNNNNNNNGGNA
rnacentral:rRNA from 1 species